GGGGCGGUGGCGCAGUUGGGAGCGCGUUAGACUGAAGCUGCAAACUUCGGCCGUACUCUAUCACAGAGUAGUAAUCUAAAGGUCACCGGUUCGAUCCCGGUUCACCCCA
rnacentral:tRNA from 1 species